GACGAACGCUGGCGGCGUGCUUAACACAUGCCAGUCGAACGGAAAGGCCCUGCUUUUGUGGGGUGCUCGAGUGGCGAACGGGUGAGUAACACGUGAGUAACCUGCCCUUGACUUUGGGAUAACUUCAGGAAACUGGGGCUAAUACCGGAUAGGAGCUCCUGCUGCAUGGUGGGGGUUGGAAAGUUUCGGCGGUUGGGGAUGGACUCGCGGCUUAUCAGCUUGUUGGUGGGGUAGUGGCUUACCAAGGCUUUGACGGGUAGCCGGCCUGAGAGGGUGACCGGCCACAUUGGGAAUGAGAUAAGGCCCAGACUCCUACGGGAGGCAGAAGUGGGGAAUAUUGAACAAUGGGCGGAAGCCUGAUGCAGCAACGACGCGUGCGGGAUGAAGGACUUCGGGUUGUAAACCGCUUUCGCCUGUGACGAAGCGUGAGUGACGGUAAUGGGUAAAGAAGCACCGGCUAACUACGUG
rnacentral:rRNA from 1 species